rnacentral:rRNA from 5 species
GACGAGGCACUACGGUGCUGAAGCAACAAAUGCCCUGCUUCCAGGAAAAGCCUCUAAGCAUCAGGUAACAUCAAAUCGUACCCCAAACCGACACAGGUGGUCAGGUAGAGAAUACCAAGGCGCUUGAGAGAACUCGGGUGAAGGAACUAGGCAAAAUGGUGCCGUAACUUCGGGAGAAGGCACGCUGACACGUAGGUGAAGUGAUUUACUCAUGGAGCUGAAGUCAGUCGAAGAUACCAGCUGGCUGCAACUGUUUAUUAAAAACACAGCACUGUGCAAACACGAAAGUGGACGUAUACGGUGUGACGCCUGCCCGGUGCCGGAAGGUUAAUUGAUGGGGUCAGCGCAAGCGAAGCUCCUGAUCGAAGCCCCGGUAAACGGCGGCCGUAACUAUAACGGUCCUAAGGUAGCGAAAUUCCUUGUCGGGUAAGUUCCGACCUGCACGAAUGGCGUAAUGAUGGCCAGGCUGUCUCCACCCGAGACUCAGUGAAAUUGAACUCGCUGUGAAGAUGCAGUGUACCCGCGGCAAGACGGAAAGACCCCGUGAACCUUUACUAUAGCUUGACACUGAACAUUGAGCCUUGAUGUGUAGGAUAGGUGGGAGGCUUUGAAGUGUGGACGCCAGUCUGCAUGGAGCCGACCUUGAAAUACCACCCUUUAAUGUUUGAUGUUCUAACGUGGACCCGUGAUCCGGGUUGCGGACAGUGUCUGGUGGGUAGUUUGACUGGGGCGGUCUCCUCCUAAAGAGUAACGGAGGAGCACGAAGGUUGGCUAAUCCUGGUCGGACAUCAGGAGGUUAGUGCAAUGGCAUAAGCCAGCUUGACUGCGAGCGUGACGGCGCGAGCAGGUGCGAAAGCAGGUCAUAGUGAUCCGGUGGUUCUGAAUGGAAGGGCCAUCGCUCAACGGAUAAAAGGUACUCCGGGGAUAACAGGCUGAUACCGCCCAAGAGUUCAUAUCGACGGCGGUGUUUGGCACCUCGAUGUCGGCUCAUCACAUCCUGGGGCUGAAGUAGGUCCCAAGGGUAUGGCUGUUCGCCAUUUAAAGUGGUACGCGAGCUGGGUUUAGAACGUCGUGAGACAGUUCGGUCCCUAUCUGCCGUGGGCGCUGGAGAACUGAGGGGGGCUGCUCCUAGUACGAGAGGACCGGAGUGGACGCAUCACUGGUGUUCGGGUUGUCAUGCCAAUGGCACUGCCCGGUAGCUAAAUGCGGAAGAGAUAAGUGCUGAAAGCAUCUAAGCACGAAACUUGCCCCGAGAUGAGUUCUCCCUGAGACUUUAGGUCUCCUGAAGGAACGUUGAAGACGACGACGUUGAUAGGCCGGGUGUGUAAGCGCAGCGAUGCGUUGAGCUAACCGGUACUAAUGAACCGUGAGGCUUAACCUUACAACGCCGAAG